GACGUAGGGCGCAAGCGUUGUCCGGAUUUAUUGGGCGUAAAGAGCUCGUAGGCGGCUUGUCGCGUCGACUGUGAAAACCCGCGGCUUAACUGUGGGACUGCAGUCGAUACGGGCUAGCUAGAGUUCGGUAGGGGAGACUGGAAUUCCUGGUGUAGCGGUGAAAUGCGCAGAUAUCAGGAGGAACACCGGUGGCGAAGGCGGGUCUCUGGGCCGAUACUGACGCUGAGGAGCGAAAGCGUGGGGAGCGAACAGG
rnacentral:rRNA from 1 species